UUUCUCCAGAAAUUGCAAUUCUAGUUAUUAUUAUUAUUCAACUUAUUCCUCCCACUUUUUUGGCACCUAACUAGUCCCACAUGCUUUAACCAAUUCACCCCGUUCCAACUUACACACAUUCCAAAAAUUCACGUGACGCUUGCUACUAUUUUUUUUGUUCAUAACAUUUACCGUUUUUGCGUAAUUAGCAAAUUUGUGGCUUAAAAUUCCCCAUUCAUUC